UUGUGACGCGAUUUGGUUUAUCUUCCGCAGAAACUGUUAAGCUCACAAUGCUGAUAUGUUGUUGUUGUCGGCCACGUGUGUAGAUUGACACCGCGAUCGUGGAACACAUGGCUGAUCUGCCUCGAAUAACUGCAAGCCGGCGCGUGCGUAGUGCCGUGGAGAACGAUCAGAAGUCCUGGACGACAAAGAAAAAAACUUCAAAGCUGCCUCUGCGAACCCCGCUCCUGGACAACAGCUGGGAGGCUCUGUGUUUAAACGCGUGCACCUUGGACGUCAUGCUCCUGCCUCUGCGAGCCCUGCUGUUGGACGCCAGCUGGAAUGCUCUGCGUUUGAAAGCGUGCACCCCAGAUGUCAUGCUCAUAAAUACAGAGUUCUCAUGAUUCUAGUGUUGACAAAGCAAUAAGUAAAAGCAGGCAAUUGUGCAUCUGGAAUGAGGUUUAACCCUGUCUCAGGAGACAUAAGACAAUAUAGUCAUGCUAUGUUCCUGUUGUUCACCAUUUUCAUGCAUGUUGUGUGCAGUACGUAUACAUACAUGCAGGCUUUGUUUUUGUUGUCCUCAGCUGCCUCUGCAAGCCCUUUUGCUGGACGCCAUGGAAGGCCCUCCACUCGAAAGUGUGCACCUUAGACUACACGCUCAUCAAUACCAAGUUCUUUGUCCUUCUCGGCAUGAUUGUA